GAUGAAGAACGCAGCGAAAUGCGAUAAGUAGUGUGAAUUGCAGAAUUCAGUGAAUCAUCGAAUCUUUGAACGCACAUUGCGCCCCUUGGUAUUCCAUGGGGCAUGCCUGUUCGAGCGUCAUCUACACCCUCAAGCUCUGCUUGGUGUUGGGCGUCUGUCCCGCCUCUGCGCGCGGACUCGCCCCAAAUUCAUUGGCAGCGGUCCUUGCCUCCUCUCGCGCAGCACAUUGCGCUUCUCGAGGUGCGCGGCCCGCGUCCACGAAGCAACAUUACCGUCUUUGAACUCGGAUCAGGUAGGGAUACCCGCUGAACUUAAGCAUAGCAAUAAGCGGAGGA
rnacentral:misc_RNA from 1 species